AAAGAUUUGUAGGAACUUUCUUCUUGUUCCACCAUCCACCCGUUUAAUGCCUUCUUCCUUCUAUUUCUUCCGAUUGGUCUGAUUUUCUCAUUACCCACCAAGAUGUGUAACCGCUCUGUUCAUGUAAAUCUCUGAGGCUCUCAUCCUGCCUGAAUUUGCGCAUCAUUCCGAAUGUGAAUAAAAUUCUUGGUGGUCGGUUACAGCCUCCAUUACCAUCCAAAAAUAAAUAAAUAAAUAAACAUUUUGCAAAGGCAUUGCAAAUUUAGAAACAUAAAAAAAAACCCACUCCUCUUGGCGUUUGCUCCACAUUUUGAAAUAAGGUUUGCAGAGUAAGCUUUGGUUUCAGCUGAGCCCAUAAAAUUUUGUUUAUGGCGGUUCCAAUCCAGGUGCCAGAUUCUCAGUCAAGAAAAACACGAGAAACAGGAAAAGCAGGGGAAGAAAGAAAGAAAAUAUAAAACAAUCCAAAAGAAU
rnacentral:lncRNA from 1 species